rnacentral:rRNA from 1 species
AAGAUGGCGACCGGCGCACGGGUGAGUAACACGUAUCCAACCUGCCGAUAACUCCGGAAUAGCCUUUCGAAAGAAAGAUUAAUACCGGAUGGCAUACGAAUAUCGCAUGAUAUUUUUAUUAAAGAGUUUCGGUUAUCGAUGGGGAUGCGUUCCAUUAGUUUGUUGGCGGGGUAACGGCCCACCAAGACUACGAUGGAUAGGGGUUCUGAGAGGAAGGUCCCCCACAUUGGAACUGAGACACGGUCCAAACUCCUACGGGAGGCAGCAUG